rnacentral:rRNA from 1 species
GGCAAUGCGCAUGCCUUACCAUGCAGUCGAACGGCAGCACGGGUGCUUGCACCUGGUGGCGAGUGGCGAACGGGUGAGUAAUACAUCGGAACAUGUCCUGUAGUGGGGGAUAGCCCGGCGAAAGCCGGAUUAAUACCGCAUACGAUCUACGGAUGAAAGCGGGGGACCUUCGGGCCUCGCGCUAUAGGGUUGGCCGAUGGCUGAUUAGCUAGUUGGUGGGGUAAAGGCCUACCAAGGCGACGAUCAGUAGCUGGUCCCACCCACACUGGGAUUGAGACCCGGCCCCAGAUUCCUACGGGAGGCAGCAGGGGGAAUUUUGGACAAUGGGCGAAAGCCUGAUCCAGCAAUGCCGCGUGUGGAAGAAGGCCUUCGGGUUGUAAAGCACUUUUGUCCGGAAAGAAAUCCUUGGCUCUAAUACAGUCGGGGGAUGACGGUACCGGAAGAAUAAGCACCGGCUAACUACGUGCCAGCAGCCGCGGUAAUACGUAGGGUGCGAGCGUUAAUCGGAAUUACUGGGCGUAAAGCGUGCGCAGGCGGUUUGCUAAGACCGAUGUGAAAUCCCCGGGCUCAACCUGGGAACUGCAUUGGUGACUGGCAGGCUAGAGUAUGGCAGAGGGGGGUAGAAUUCCACGUGUAGCAGUGAAAUGCGUAGAGAUGUGGAGGAAUACCGAUGGCGAAGGCAGCCCCCUGGGCCAAUACUGACGCUCAUGCACGAAAGCGUGGGGAGCAAACAGGAUUAGAUACCCUGGUAGUCCACGCCCUAAACGAUGUCAACUAGUUGUUGGGGAUUCAUUUCCUUAGUAACGUAGCUAACGCGUGAAGUUGACCGCCUGGGGAGUACGGUCGCAAGAUUAAAACUCAAAGGAAUUGACGGGGACCCGCACAAGCGGUGGAUGAUGUGGAUUAAUUCGAUGCAACGCGAAAAACCUUACCUACCCUUGACAUGGUCGGAAUCCCGCUGAGAGGUGGGAGUGCUCGAAAGAGAACCGGCGCACAGGUGCUGCAUGGCUGUCGUCAGCUCGUGUCGUGAGAUGUUGGGUUAAGUCCCGCAACGAGCGCAACCCUUGUCCUUAGUUGCUACGCAAGAGCACUCUAAGGAGACUGCCGGUGACAAACCGGAGGAAGGUGGGGAUGACGUCAAGUCCUCAUGGCCCUUAUGGGUAGGGCUUCACACGUCAUACAAUGGUCGGAACAGAGGGUUGCCAACCCGCGAGGGGGAGCUAAUCCCAGAAAACCGAUCGUAGUCCGGAUUGCACUCUGCAACUCGAGUGCAUGAAGCUGGAAUCGCUAGUAAUCGCGGAUCAGCAUGCCGCGGUGAAUACGUUCCCGGGUCUUGUACACACCGCCCGUCACACCAUGGGAGUGGGUUUUACCAGAAGUGGCUAGUCUAACCGCAAGGAGGACGGUCACCACGGUAGAUUCAAGGGG